rnacentral:rRNA from 1 species
AACCCGCAAGGGGGACAGCGGCAAACGGGGUAGGAAUGGUCGGUGACGUACCCUUCGGACGAGGAUAGCCACGGGAAACUGUGGGUAAUACUCGAUAAACUCCCUGGACAUGAGGGUUUGGGGAGCAAAGGUGAGAUUCCACCGGAGGAGCGGCUGACUUAGUAUUAGCUAGUUGGUGAGGUAAAAGCUCACCAAGGCUUCGAUGCUUAGGGGGUGUGAGAGCAUGACCCCCACCACUGGGACUGAGAUACUGCCCAGACACCUACGGGUGGCUGCAGUCGAGGAUCUUCGGCAAUGGGCGCAAGCCUGACCGAGCGACGCCGCGUGUGGGAUGAAGGCCCUUGGGUUGUAAACCACUGUCGAGGGGAAUGAAAUGCGUGUGGGUUAUCCCAUGCGUUUGACGGAACCCUGGAGGAAGCACGGGCUAAGUUCGUGCCAGCAGCCGCGGUAAUACGAACUGUGCAAACGUUAUUCGGAAUCACUGGGCUUAAAGGGUGCGUAGGCGGCUUGUUAAGCAGGGUGUGAAAGCCCUCGGCUCAACCGAGGAAUAGCGCUCUGAACUGGCGA